rnacentral:lncRNA from 1 species
AGCCUUCAUGCUUCACAGCCUCUUCAAAACAGGUUGGCUCUACUAAGGCUAUAUGUGCCCUCUCAUAAAUUUCAACCAAGGAUCUGGUACCUCUGAUUGGCACAUCAUCAAAGUCCAUAUCAGGACUUUUUUCUUCUGACUCUGUUUGAUCAACCACAAGUUCUUCAGAGACAGCUUCAGGUUCAUUCUUGUCCUAAUUCCAACAAGCCUUCUCAUCAAACACUACAUCUCUGCUCACUUGGAUUUUGUUGGUUAAAGGAUCCA